rnacentral:rRNA from 1 species
GACGAACGCUGGCGGCGUGCCUAACACAUGCAAGUCGAGCGAGAAUCUUUUAUUUGAUUCCUUCGGGAUGAUUAUUUAAGAGGAAAGCGGCGGACGGGUGAGUAACGCGUGAGUAACCUGCCCUUAACUGCGGGAUAACACAUCGAAAGGUGUGCUAAUACCGCAUAAUCCGGAAGUAUCGCAUGAUACAUUCGGCAAAGAUUUAUGGUUAAGGAUGGACUCGCGUCUGAUUAGAUAGUUGGUGAGGUAACGGCUCACCAAGUCGACGAUCAGUAGCCGGACUGAGAGGUUGACCGGCCACAUUGGGACUGAGAUACGGCCCAGACUCCUACGGGAGGCAGCAGUGGGGAAUAUUGGGCAAUGGACGCAAGUCUGACCCAGCAACGCCGCGUGAAGGAGAAGGCUUUCGGGUUGUAAACUUCUUUUAAGGGGGAAGAGCAGAAGACGGUACCCCUUGAAUAAGCCACGGCUAACUACGUG